UCUCCGUAGGUGAACCUGCGGAGGGAUCAUUAAUGAGAUGGACCUGUUCGAAACGUCUCGGUGAAAGUCGAGGCCUUUCGAAGAGUGUUCAACCUCCAACCCUUUGUUAUUACAAACCAUUAUUCUAUUGCCUCAGGGUGUAAAAAGCCCUGGCGUAGUAAAUUCAAACUCUUGUUAUAAUUUAUCGUCUGAGUCAAAAUAUUAAAUUAUUUUAAAACUUUCAACAACGGAUCUCUUGGUUCUGGCAUCGAUGAAGAACGCAGC
rnacentral:misc_RNA from 1 species